rnacentral:rRNA from 1 species
GGGAUUAGUAAAGUGGCGGACUGGUGAGUAACGCGUAGGUAAUCUACCUUUUAGUCUGGGAUAAUGUUGCGAAAGUGACACUAAUACCGGAUGUGGUUGGAGGACUUCGGUCCUUUAAUUAAAGAUGGCUGAGCUUGAUGCUAUCGCUAUUAGAUGAGCCUGCGUCCUAUUAGCUAGUUGGUGAGGUAAUGGCCCACCAAGGCGAUGAUGGGUAGCCGACCUGAGAGGGUGACCGGCCACAUUGGGACUGAGAUACGGCCCAGACUCCUACGGGAGGCAGCAGCUAAGAAUAUUCCGCAAUGGACGAAAGUCUGACGGAGCGACGCCGCGUGGACGAUGAAGGCCUUCGGGUUGUAAAGUCUUUUCGUGCGGGAAGAUUUUUCUUCCGGUAAAUAAUCGGAAGGAUCGACUGUACCGCAGGAAGAAGCCCCGGCUAAUUACGUGCCAGCAGCCGCGGUAAUACGUAUGGGGCGAGCGUUAUUCGGAUUUAUUGGGCGUAAAGGGUAUGCAGGGGGUCUGUUAAGUCGAGUGUGAAAUCUUCAGGCUUAACCUGAAAAUUGCUCUCGAAACUGACAGACUUGAGUUCAGAAGAGGAGAAUGGAAUUCCAGGUGUAGGGGUGAAAUCUGUAGAUAUCUGGAAGAACACCAGUGGCGAAGGCGAUUCUCUGGUCUGAAACUGACUCUCAGAUACGAAAGCCAGGGGAGCAAACGGGAUUAGAUACCCCGGUAGUCCUGGCCCUAAACGGUGAUCACUAGGUGCAUGAAGUAUUCAUUCUUUAUGUGCCAAAGCUAACGCAUUAAGUGAUCCGCCUGGGGAGUACGCCGGCAACGGUGAAACUCAAAGGAAUUGACGGGGGCCCGCACAAGCGGUGGAGCAUGUGGCUCAAUUCGAUGAUACGCGAGGAACCUUACCAGGGUUUGACAAGCUGGCAGUAGAAGCAUGAAAGUGUAACGACCGGUAUCCAAUCCGGAUCCAGUACAGGUGCUGCAUGGCUGUCGUCAGCUCGUGUCGUGAGAUGUUGGGUUAAGUCCCGUAACGAGCGCAACCCCUAUCUUCAGUUGCCAUCAAGACGCAAGUUGUUGGGCACUCUGAAGGGACUGCCGAUGAUAAGUCGGAGGAAGGCGGGGAUGACGUCAAGUCCUCAUGGCCUUUAUAUCCUGGGCUGCACACGUGCUACAAUGGUCUGAACAGAGGGUUGCAAAACCGCGAGGUUGAGCUAAUCCCUGAAAACAGGCCCCAGUUCGGAUUGUAGUCUGCAACUCGACUACAUGAAGUCGGAAUCGCUAGUAAUCGCGCAUCAGCACGGCGCGGUGAAUACGUUCCCGGGCCUUGUACACACCGCCCGUCACAUCACCCGAGUCGGAUGCACUUGAAUUUGUUGCGCCAACCUGCAAGGGAGGUAGACAAUGAAAGUGUGUUUGGUGAGGGGGAUGAAGUCGUAACAAGGUA